rnacentral:rRNA from 1 species
CCUACGGGCGGCAGCAGUGAGGAAUAUUGGUCAAUGGACGCAAGUCUGAACCAGCCAUGCCGCGUGCAGGAAGACGGCUCUAUGAGUUGUAAACUGCUUUUGUACGAGGGUAAACUCAGAUACGCGUAUCUUUCUGAAAGUAUCUUACGAAUAAGGAUCGGCUAACUCCGUGCCAGCAGCCGCGGUAAUACGGAGGGUUCAAGCGUUAUCCGGAUUUAUUGGGUUUAAAGGGUGCGUAGGCGGUCGGAUAAGUUAGAGGUGAAAUCCCGGGGCUCAACUUCGGAAUUGCCUCUGAUACUGUUCGGCUAGAGGGUAGUUGCGGUAGGCGGAAUGUAUGGUGUAGCGGUGAAAUGCUUAGAGAUCAUGCAGAACACCGAUUGCGAAGGCAGCUUACCAAGCUACUUCUGACGUUGAGGCACGAAAGCGUGGGGAGCAAACAGGAUUAGAUACCCUUGUAGUC